AUACGGAGGGUGCAAGCGUUGUUCGGAAUUAUUGGGCGUAAAGCGCGUGUAGGCGGUCUGUUAAGUCUGGUGUGAAAGCCCUGGGCUCAACCCAGGAAGUGCAUUGGAUACUGGCAGACUUGGGUAUAGGAGAGGAAAGCGGAAUUCCGAGUGUAGGAGUGAGAUCCGUAGAUAUUCGGAGGAACACCAGUGGCGAAGGCGGCUUUCUGGACCAAUACUGACGCUGAGACGCGAAAGCGUGGGGAGCAAACAGGAUUAGAAACCCUAGUAGUCC
rnacentral:rRNA from 1 species